rnacentral:rRNA from 1 species
GACGAACCGUGCGAACGUUAUUCGGAAUCACUGGGCUUAAAGGGCGCGUAGGUGGCCCGGUCAGUUCGUGGUGAAAGCGCGGGGCUCAACCCCGCGUCGGCCAUGGAUACUGCUGGGCUGGAGCACUGUAGAGGCAGGCGGAAUUCCGGGUGUAGCGGUGGAAUGCGUAGAGAUCCGGAAGAACACCGGUGGCGAAGGCGGCCUGCUGGGCAGUUGCUGACACUGAGGCGCGACAGCGUGGGGAGCAAACAGGG